rnacentral:rRNA from 1 species
GUUGAACGCUGGCGGCGUGCCUAAUACAUGCAAGUCGAGCGAACAGACGAGGAGCUUGCUCCUCUGACGUUAGCGGCGGACGGGUGAGUAACACGUGGAUAACCUACCUAUAAGACUGGGAUAACUUCGGGAAACCGGAGCUAAUACCGGAUAAUAUAUUGAACCGCAUGGUUCAAUAGUGAAAGACGGUUUUGCUGUCACUUAUAGAUGGAUCCGCGCCGCAUUAGCUAGUUGGUAAAGUAACGGCUUACCAAGGCAACGAUGCGUAGCCGACCUGAGAGGGUGAUCGGCCACACUGGAACUGAGACACGGUCUAGACUCCUACGGGAGGCAGCAGUAGGGAAUCUUCCGCAAUGGGCGAAAGCCUGACGGAGCAACGCCGCGUGAGUGAUGAAGGUCUUCGGAUCGUAAAACUCUGUUAUUAGGGAAGAACAAAUGUGUAAGUAACUAUGCACGUCUUGACGGUACCUAAUCAGAAAGCCACGGCUAACUACGUG